rnacentral:rRNA from 1 species
UAAAAACCCCGACUUCGGAAGGGGUGUAUUUAUUAGAUACAAAACCAAUGCCCUUCGGGGCUCUUUGGUGAUUCAUGAUAACUAUACGAAUCGCACGGCCUUGCGCCGGCGAUGGUUCAUUCAAAUUUCUUCCCUAUCAACUUUCGAUGUUUGGGUAUUGGCCAAACAUGGUUGCAACGGGUAACGGAGGGUUAGGGCUCGACCCCGGAGAAGGAGCCUGAGAAACGGCUACUACAUCCAAGGAAGGCAGCAGGCGCGCAAAUUACCCAAUCCCGACUCGGGGAGGUAGUGACAAUAAAUACUGACACAGGGCCCUUUCGGGCCUUGUAAUUGGAAUGAGUACAAUUUAAAUCCCUUAACGAGGAACAAUUGGAGGGCAAGUCUGGUGCCAGCAGCCGCGGUAAUUCCAGCUCCAAUAGCGUAUAUUAAAGUUGUUGUGGUUAAAAAGCUCGUAGUUGAACCUUGGGCCUGGCUGGCCGGUCCGCCUCACCGCGUGCACUGGUCCGGCCGGGCCUUUCCCUCUGUGGAACGCCCUACCCCUCACUGGGCGUGGCGAGGAAACAGGAAUAUAAUUUG